GAGCAGAGGUUUAAGAAGAAACUGCUGGAACACACAGAUGCGAAUAACAUCUCCUCCCUCCUCCUGAUGGCAGCCAAUCGCUGGCUGGAGGUUCGCAUGGAGUACAUCGGGGCGUUUGUGGUGCUGAUCGCGGCGGUGGCGUCUAUAAGCAAUGCUUUAUGCAGUCAGCUCUCAGCGGGACUGGUGGGUCUGGGACUCACUUACACUCUCAUGGUGUCCAACUAUCUGAACUGGAUCGUGCGUAAUCGGCAGACAUGGAGGUGCAGCUGGGCUGCGUGAAGAGAGUCAGCGGUCUGAUCCACACGCAGCCGGAGAACUACGACGGACUCAUGAGUGAGACACUGACACAACGCUGGGAAAUAAGAGGGAACAGUCAUAAAAGCAUGAGAAUAAAAGGGGGAAAUGAAAAGAAAUAAUAACAAUAAAAAAUACAUU